rnacentral:sRNA from 1 species
GUGGGAAUUGAGGGGAAGUAGGGAUUGGGUCUGGACAGUGUAUGGUAACUGCUCACUGUUUCUUUUCAGGCUGAAGAUGGAAACAUUGAAUAUAAAUUGAAGCUGGUGAAUCCAUCCCAGUACCGCUUUGAGCACCUGGUGACACAAAUGAAGUGGCGGCUCCAGGAGGGACGUGGUGAGGCCGUCUACCAGAUUGGGGUAGAGGACAAUGGGCUGCUGGUGGGGCUGGCUGAGGAGGAAAUGCGAGCUUCGCUCAAGACCCUGCAUCGGAUGGCAGAGAAGGUUGGGGCAGACAUCACUGUUCUUCGAGAGCGAGAAGUGGAUUAUGAUAGCGACAUGCCCCGGAAGAUCACCGAGGUGCUAGUACGAAAGGUCCCUGACAACCAACAGUUCCUAGACCUCCGUGUGGCUGUCCUGGGGAAUGUGGACUCAGGGAAGUCAACUCUGCUUGGAGUCCUGACCCAGGGAGAGCUGGACAAUGGGCGGGGCCGGGCUCGGCUCAACCUUUUCCGUCACCUGCAUGAGAUUCAGUCUGGCCGAACCUCCAGCAUCAGCUUCGAGAUCCUGGGCUUUAACAGCAAGGGAGAGGUGGUGAAUUACAGCGACUCACGGACAGCAGAAGAGAUCUGUGAGAGCAGCUCCAAGAUGAUCACCUUCAUCGACCUGGCAGGCCACCAUAAGUACCUACACACCACCAUCUUUGGCCUAACAUCAUACUGCCCCGACUGCGCCCUGCUCCUCGUCAGUGCCAACACUGGGAUUGCUGGCACCACAAGGGAACAUCUAGGGCUGGCCCUGGCCCUGAAAGUGCCCUUCUUCGUCGUGGUCAGCAAGAUCGACCUGUGUGCCAAGACCACAGUGGAGAGGACAGUACGCCAGCUGGAGCGGGUCCUCAAGCAGCCUGGCUGCCAUAAGGUCCCCAUGCUGGUCACCUCUGAGGAUGAUGCCGUCACUGCUGCCCAGCAGUUUGCUCAGUCACCCAAUGUCACCCCCAUCUUCACAUUGUCCAGUGUGUCUGGAGAGAGUCUGGACCUCCUCAAAGUCUUUCUGAAUAUUCUGCCGCCACUCACCAACAGCAAAGAGCAGGAGGAGCUCAUGCAGCAGCUGACGGAGUUCCAGGUAGAUGAAAUCUACACAGUACCAGAGGUGGGGACUGUUGUUGGAGGAACACUUUCCAGUGGGAUUUGCCGUGAGGGGGACCAGCUGGUGGUGGGCCCCACGGAUGAUGGCUGCUUCCUGGAGCUGAGAGUAUGCAGCAUCCAGCGCAACCGCUCUGCCUGUCGUGUGCUGCGAGCUGGUCAGGCUGCUACAUUGGCGCUUGGGGACUUUGACCGUGCACUGCUUCGAAAGGGCAUGGUGAUGGUGAGCCCGGAGAUGAAUCCUACCAUCUGCUCGGUGUUUGAGGCAGAGAUAGUCUUACUGUUCCAUGCCACCACCUUCCGACGAGGAUUCCAGGUGACAGUACAUGUGGGCAAUGUACGUCAGACGGCAGUGGUGGAAAAGAUCCAUGCCAAGGACAAACUGCGGACAGGCGAGAAGGCAGUGGUACGUUUCCGCUUCCUGAAACACCCAGAGUACCUGAAGGUGGGCGCCAAACUGCUGUUCCGGGAGGGUGUCACCAAGGGCAUCGGCCAUGUCACUGAUGUACAAGCCAUUACAGCAGGAGAAGCCCAGGCCAACAUGGGCUUCUGAAUCCUUCAGGCAGGGACAGUUCUAUUGCUGUCCCUACAAUAUAUAAGGUGACUUCCGGCCCUGCUGCCCCGCCAUUGGCGGCUCUGUGUGUUAAUAGGCUAGGGAGAGAGGGGUGCUGUUUGCCACUUGCUCCCUGCCAACUUUCUGGAGAGGUGCCAAACUUGGUGUGGCCAGGAAAGGGCCAUCCUGAGGGAGAAGACAGGAUUCAGGGCAGUGCUCAGAAGCUGUGUGCUCACCUGGUUGGCUCAUCAAACCUGGCAACCCUGUGGCCUGUCUGCUGGAGCUGACUGGAUCCACUUAUCAAUUCCUCGGCCCCACUACUAAGACUGGGCAUGUUUUGCUGGUGUGGUCUCUGCACUUCAGGAAUUGUCACAACAGGGGGUAGCCCUCAAAAGCCCUCCUUUUUCUAUACCUCUUCUCAAGGCCAUGUAAGUUGCCCAUCUCUACCUGGCUGUGGACAAAAGGUUAUCUGCUCUUGGCCAUCUGGUGGUGGUGGCGGCUCAGAGUCUGAAGAAAUGGCACAGGGACAGUGAAUGGUAGUGUUCCCACCCUGUGCAGAGGCCUUAGGCCUCUUCCACAGCUUUAUCUCCCUUUCCUUCACUCAAGGGCCAUUUCCCCAGUCCCUAUCUAUCUCCCCCACCCCCUCCCGGCUUAUAGGCCCCACAGGUGCUAUUUGUUGUGCUGGCCCAGGCGUGGGGCUACCAAGCAAAGGCUUGGCAUAUACCAAAGGCCAGCUGCAUGCCCAUCAGUCUGGUCUUUUUCCUCUGCGGUCAUGUUGGCUUUUAUGCUGGAUCAAAUGUUUUACUUUCCCAGACUGGUGGCAUCUGAGUUCCCCAUCCUACCACUCUCACCCCACUUUCCUGCCCCACCUAAACCCUCUUGUUUUAGUAAUUUGUAGUGACUGUUCCCUUCCCUCUGUUGCAGGGAACCAGGAGGAAAGGGAAAGAUGUUGCCAUAUUUCCUACUCUUAAGGCAUGGACUCUCCUUUCCCUUUGUUAGUGUCCUGGGUUCCCAUGGACUCAGGGAUUUGUUGGCUGAGGUUUCUCUGCGCAUAUAUAUAUUUAUACAUAUGUAUAUAUAUUUAAAUACACGUAUAUAUUGUACAGAAUAAAAAUGUUUUAUUGAAUACA